CCGAUGAACUAAUUCUCCGUAAAGGACAUGAGCUUAUCGAAAACGGUUUCGAGAACGUUCGCAUUCUUUUUACAGUGUAUCGGUUUACGUUCAACGUCAUUCAUUUGGUAUCAUUCAUUCAAUUAAUUCGCGAUUAAGAUUGACCAUGUAUUUAUACCGUGCAAGUACAUAUGUACUAAAAAAUACUUACGUACUUCGGUAAUUAACUGAUCUACGAUGAGAAGACGAGAUUGAGUAUAAUGGUAAAAAAUGAGUUAUGGUAGUUACUGGAAAUUACAUGUACCCGCAAUGCAUUGACAAGCACUCGGGCGCCUAUUAGCGUCCACGCGUGUUAAUGAAGAUUUCGCGUAGUGGUUCACGUGCGGUGCGAUCACUUCACGUUUUCUUCAAAAUACGUAACCGAUUCGACACGCAACGAAACUUGACCGUGUUAUUUGUAACGAAUUAAUUGAUUAAUUGUUUAUUUUAAAAUAUUGUGAGUAUAUACUUACGUUUUAUGUUAUUCCAAUAUUCUGGGAAUCUGGUAUGUUUAUGGAUUAUAUUAUAUAGAUUCUCUGAAUAGGACAGUGGCGCACGGGUUAAAUUCUAAUUUACGCGAUAAUACUCAAGUUUAUCGUAUGACAUUUUUUUCUUUCGUUUCAACUUAAAAACAUCCGAAAAACCGACGUAUUUUUUGCUAAAUCUUCCGAAUAUUACGAAAUGGUAAAUUAUUUGGUAACAUACAUCUAAUACUUGCAAAUGAGAUGCGUUAAAAUAUCAUAAUAAUAUAACUAUAAUUAAUGCGAAUGAUCGUUCAAAGGAUUUGAGUAAACGUAGUCUAGACAAGGAAAAACAACUUGAUUUGUUAAGGCUAUGGUAUUGUUUGUUUUCAGUUAAAUGAUUUACGGGUUUUUUAAAAAAUUUAUUUUGCACAUUAUACGUUAUUGUACAAUGGUAGAUAUAUUGAAAUAUAGAAAGUAUAUAGUCUCAGAUAUUUGUCCAUCGACGAUAUUUGCGAUAAACGAAUACGUGUGAAAAUAUAUCACAAAAAUCUAUGAUAAGCUUGUUUAUUUGACUCGUCGGAAACUAAUAAAGAAUUCCUGACACGAUCCCUUAUCUCGAGACACACAGUCUAACCUGUUCCAUUACCGUUUUCCCUAAUCUUAACGAUCGUUGUUACUAAUUUAGGAAACGAUAAAUCAUAACAUGUUUUAUCGUAAACCUGUUACGUUACACAACGAAAUCUAGAUCAAAUUAAUCUAUUAAUUUUACGCUAACGACACGUGUACUUAUGCGAUUAUUUAUUUAAAAAAAUAUUCUUUUUCAACUUUGAUUUCUUAUUUACAUGUACUAUUUAUCGCUUACUGCCAUUUAUAAGACGAUUAUUUAAUUAAUGCAUUGCGCAACAUAUAGAUAAAGGAAAACAGGACAGUUUAUUUAACGAGUUCAUGCGAACAGUUAAAAUAUAUAUUUAAACGAAAAUUUUCUGCUUCGUUAAAACGUUAAUAAUACGUAUAAACUUUAUUAUCAAAGGAAAUUUUGUAAAUUGAAUGUUAAAAUGAGGAUCCUUCCAGAUGACCAGUCUUGACCAGUCAAUUUAUCUGUUCUCACCUGAAUCACCUGAUGUGUCGUGUGAUUUUAUUGUAA